rnacentral:lncRNA from 1 species
GAAGAUUGAUACAGUAUGUUUGUGUCUUGUUUUGUCUCAGUGUAUUGUAUUGUCUUUAUGAUGAAAAUAUGGAAGGGGUGAGAAGUAAAUUACUAAGGGAAGAAGGCACCCCAGUGGAACCAAGAAUAGUUAGGGCAUGUGUUGAUAAAAGCCCAAGAACUCUAGUCAGAAAGAAAAAGAAAGUUCAGAAGAAGAAGGAUUAUCAGGAAAAAAGUUGCAGCAAAAGGCUAUUACUAAAUACUUUUCGUUACCGGAGGGUGCGUGAAGCGGAGAGGCGGCUGCCGAGUGUGCAAGCCGGUCACAGCGCAGCAAGGAUUUUCCAAGAGGCGGC